ACGGCUCAGUAACACGUGGGUGACCUGCCUUCGAGUGGGGGAUAACGUCCCGAAAGGGACGCUAAUACCGCAUGACAUCCUGCCUUUAGAGAGGUGGAGAUCAAAGCCGGGGAUCGCAAGACCUGGCGCUUGAAGAGGGGCCCGCGCCUGAUUAGCUAGUUGGCGAGGUAACGGCUCACCAAGGCAACGAUCAGUAUCCGGCCUGAGAGGGCGGACGGACACACUGGGACUGAGACACGGCCCAGACUCCUACGGGAGGCAGCAGUGGGGAAUUGUUCGCAAUGGGCGCAAGCCUGACGACGCAACGCCGCGUGGAGGAUGAGGAUCUUCGGGUCGUAAACUCCUGUCGAGCGGGACGAACGCUUCGUGGACUAACACUCCGCGGAAUUGACGGUACCGCUAAAGGAAGCCCCGGCUAACUCCGUGCCAGCAGCCGCGGUAAUACGGGGGGGGCAAGCGUUGUUCGGAAUUACUGGGCGUAAAGGGCUAGUAGGCGGCCAACUAAGUCGGAUGUGAAAUCCCCAGGCUCAACUUGGGAACUGCAUCCGAUACUGAUUGGCUUGAAUCCGGGAGAGGGAUGCAGAAUUCCAGGUGUAGCGGUGAAAUGCGUAGAUAUCUGGAGGAAUACCGGUGGCGAAGGCGGCAUCCUGGACCGGCAUUGACGCUGAUCAGCGAAAGCCAGGGGAGCAAACGGGAUUAGAUACCCCGGUAGUCCUGGCCCUAAACGAUGAAUGCUUGGUGUGACGGGUAUCGAUCCCUGUCGUGCCGAAGCUAACGCAUUAAGCACUCCGCCUGGGAGUACGUCGCAUGAC
rnacentral:rRNA from 1 species